UCUGCUCCCAUCAGCAUCAUUGUUGGUGUUGUUGCUGUUGUCCUGUUAAUGGUCAGUGGUGUCGCUGGAUAUUUGGUGUAUUGGAAAAAAGAGAAAUUAGGGCCUGACACCUCAACUGUUGAGAGUGCCACAAGCCUACUGUCCUCUGACAGCUCAAGUGUUGAAAACACCAAGGGCCCAAAAAGUAAGUAUUAUGAGUUCUCUUUUUUUUUUUUUUAGUAAUUGAUGCUCAACUCAUCUUGCGCAGUUUUGCUUGCAAUUGCUUGCUUUAGUGCAAUUUGGAGGAUAGACUGAAAGAUUGAUUUAUGAAUCUGCAUGUUGGAAAAGGCGACUGUGUAAAAAGUGUAGAAAAUGCACAUAAAGAACAGAACCAGUAAACAAAAACAAUGAUAAGAGUACUACUAUAAACUCUAUAUAACUAAUGAUUCUUUUAUAGGGACUAUAUUUAUGUUAUCACAUAUGCACAA